GGUAUUUUGACCGUGCUAAGGUAGCANAAUCACUUGUUUUUNAAUUGAUAACUGGAAUGAAAGGUUGCUCUUAUUUUAAUUUUUGUAAAACUNAAAUAAUAAAUNAAAGUNAGGGUAAGAAUUCUUUAAUUUUCNAGGGGACGAUAAGACCCNAGAAGCUUAAUAUAGAGUUGUACUUANAGAAAAAGUUGAUUAUUUAUUUUACUGGGGCGGUAGGAGUAAACUUACUAUUUGCUNAAAAAAGAUCUUUAAAAUUAAGANAAUUGGGAUUAGUUACUCUAGGGAUAACAGUGCAAUUUUUUNAGAAAGACCUUAUUGAUGAANAAGUUUGCAACCUCGAUGUUGAAUUAAGAUGUCUAAGUGAGGUAAAAGGUACUAAAGAAAGGUUUGUUCAACCUUUAAAGUCUUACAUGAUCNGAGUUCAAACCGGA
rnacentral:rRNA from 1 species